CCUACGGGUGGCAGCAGUGAGGAAUAUUGGUCAAUGGACGCAAGUCUGAACCAGCCAAGUAGCGUGCAGGAUGACGGCCCUCCGGGUUGUAAACUGCUCUUAGUUGGGAAUAAAAGGGGGCUCGUGAGCCCCGUAUUGUAUGUACCAUCAGAAAAAGGACCGGCUAAUUCCGUGCCAGCAGCCGCGGUAAUACGGAAGGUCCGGGCGUUAUCCGGAUUUAUUGGGUUUAAAGGGAGCGUAGGCCGGCUUUUAAGUCAGCUGUGAAAGUCCGCGGCUCAACCUCGGUGCUACUACCAAAACUGUUGAACUUGAGUGCAGGAGGGGUGAAUGGAAUUCCCAGUGUAGCGGUGGAAUGCGUAGAUAUUGGGAAGAACACCAGCGGCGAAGGCGAUUCACUGGACUGUAACUGACACUGAGGCACGAAAGCGUGGGGAGCAAACAGGAUUAGAUACCCGGGUAGUC
rnacentral:rRNA from 1 species